GUAGGGGGCAAGCGUUAUCCGGAUUUACUGGGUGUAAAGGGAGCGCAGACGGCACUGCAAGUCUGAAGUGAAAGCCCGGGGCUCAACCCCGGGACUGCUUUUGAAACUGUGGAGCUGGAGUGCAGGAGAGGCGAGUGGAAUUCCUAGUGUAGCGGUGAAAUGCGUAGAUAUUAGGAGGAACACCAGUGGCGNAGGCGGCUUGCUGGACUGUNACUGACACUGAGGCUCGAAAGCGUGGGGNGCNNACAGGAUUAGAUACCCUGGUAGUCCACGCCGUANACGAUGNAUACUAGGUGUCGGGGCUCAUANGNGCUUCGGUGCCGCAGCNNACGCNAUNNGUAUUCCNCCUGGGGNGU
rnacentral:rRNA from 1 species